GGAAAUUUGUUGAAAAAAUGGCGGAUACAUUAAAAUCGUGGUUUACAAGCGAAGAAAAUACAAGGAAAGCAGCGCUUCCACUCCUUCCAAGGACGGCACGCCACUGAUGUUUGGGAAAUGGUACCACCAGGACACUUAAAGCUUUAACACGGAUAUAAACUGCCUGUGAAUCUCCUGACUGGGUUAUUGAAAACGUAACUCUUCCACCAAAAGAGUUGUAACAUAUGUUCUUAAACCAUAUUAUAACUUGUUGGAGGAGAGAAGGAAAAAGACCCAAUAGACAUACAUAUUGCAGUUCUAAUCCAGAAAAACUUCUUAGGAUGUCGAUCUAAGUGACCUUCAAACCAUAAAUUUCAAAACUCUCUCUUGCGGGAAUUACGAGGCCAUUUUUCAUACCUAUCACAGUUUUAGCCAUAAGAUAGAGUGAGUAAAAGGAAAAGUGUGAUAUGGAACUUGAGGAGCACAACACAUUAACACCAAUUAGACUAUUGUGAGCCAACGAGGGUUCUUCACAGCAGCAAGCCAGUGCUUUUACGUA